UACAGAGGUCCCAAGCGUUGUUCGGAUUCACUGGGCGUAAAGGGUGCGUAGGCGGCCGGGUAAGUCUGAUGUGAAAUCCCGCAGCUCAACUGCGGAACUGCAUCGGAUACUCUCCGGCUAGAGGAAUGGGGGGGAGACUGGAAUUCUCGGUGUAGCAGUGAAAUGCGUAGAUAUCGAGAGGAACACCAGUGGCGAAGGCGAGUCUCUGGACAUUUCCUAACGCUGAGGCACGAAAGCCAGGGGAGCAAACGGG
rnacentral:rRNA from 1 species